CCUACGGGCGGCAGCAGUGGGGGAUAUUGGACAAUGGGGGGAACCCUGAUCCAGCGACGCCGCGUGAGUGAAGAAGUAUUUCGGUAUGUAAAGCUCUGUCAGCAGGGAAGAAAGAAAUGACGGUACCUGACCAAGAAGCCCCGGCUAACUACGUGCCAGCAGCCGCGGUAAUACGUAGGGGGCAAGCGUUAUCCGGAAUUACUGGGAGUAAAGGGAGCGUAGACGGUUAAGUAAGUCUGGAGUGAAAGGCCGGGGCCCAACCCCGGGACUGCUCUGGAAACUAUUGAACUUGAGGGCAGGAGAGGUAAGCGGAAUUCCUAGUGUAGCGGUGAAAUGCGUAGAGAUUAGGAGGAACACCAGUGGCGAAGGCGGCUUACUGGACUGUAACUGACGUUGAGGCUCGAAAGCGUGGGGAGCAGACAGGAUUAGAUACCCCUGUAGUC
rnacentral:rRNA from 1 species